UACGUAGGGAGCAAGCGUUGUCCGGAAUCACUGGGCGUAAAGGGCGCGUAGGCGGCGCGACAAGUCAAUGGUGAAAGCCCGAGGCUCAACUUCGGGUCGGCCACUGAUACUGUUGGGCUUGAGCACUGUAGAGGCAGGUGGAAUUCCCGGUGUAGCGGUGAAAUGCGUAGAGAUCGGGAGGAACAUCAGUGGCGAAGGCGGCCAUCUGGGACAACACUGACGCUGAAGCACGAAAGCGUGGGGAGCAAACAGG
rnacentral:rRNA from 1 species